CAAGGUUUCCGUAGGUGAACCUGCGGAAGGAUCAUUGUUGGAA
rnacentral:rRNA from 1 species